UACGAAGGGGGCUAGCGUUGUUCGGAAUUACUGGGCGUAAAGGGCGCGUAGGCGGUACUUCAAGUCAGGCGUGAAAGCCCCGGGCUCAAACUGGGAACCGCGCUUGAGACUGGAGAACUAGAGUUCGGGAGAGGAUGGUGGAAUUCCCAGUGUAGAGGUGAAAUUCGUAGAUAUUGGGAAGAACACCGAUGGCGAAGGCAGCCAUCUGGACCGACACUGACGCUGAGGCGCGAAAGCGUGGGGAGCAAACAGG
rnacentral:rRNA from 1 species